rnacentral:rRNA from 1 species
CCCUACGGGAGGCAGCAGUGGGGGAUAUUGCACAAUGGGGGAAACCCUGAUGCAGCGACGCCGCGUGGGUAAAGAAGCGCCUCGGCGCGUAAAGCCCUGUCAGCAGGGAAGAAAAAGACGGUACCUGAAGAAGAAGCCCCGGCUAACUACGUGCCCGCGGCCGCGGUAAUACGUAGGGGGCAAGCGUUAUCCGGAUUUACUGGGCGCAAAGGGGGCGCAGACGGAGAUGCAA